GGGAUAGCUCCGACUGAGCUGCCAGACCCCCGACCCGGCAGCUCGGUCGGAGCGUUUCU
rfam:Gordonia soli NBRC 108243 DNA, contig: GS438.